UACGAAGGGGGCUAGCGUUGCUCGGAAUGACUGGGCGUAAAGGGCGCGUAGGCGGUUUGAUCAGUUAGGUGUGAAAUUCCUGGGCUUAACCUGGGGGGCUGCACUUAAUACGGUCAGGCUUGAGUGUGAAAGAGGGUCGUGGAAUUCCCAGUGUAGAGGUGAAAUUCGUAGAUAUUCGCAAGAACACCAGUGGCGAAGGCGGCUUACUGGUCCGGUUCUGACGCUGAGGCGCGAAAGCGUGGGGAGCAAACAGG
rnacentral:rRNA from 1 species